AUUCCAGCCCCAAUAGCGUAUAUUAAAGUUGUUGCGGUUAAAAAGCUCGUAGUUGGAUUUCUGUCGAGAACGGCCGGUCCGCACUAUGUGCGUGUAUCUGGUUCGGUCUUGGCAUCCUCUUGGAGAACGUAACUGCGCUUGAUUGCGUGGUGCGGUAUUCAGGACUUUUACUUUGAGGAAAUUAGAGUGUUCACGGCAGGCAAGCGCCUUGAAUAUAUUAGCAUGGAAUAAUAAUAUAGGAUCUCGGUUCUAUUUUGUUGGUUUCUAGAAUCAGGAUAAUGAUUAAUAGGGAUAAUUGGGGGCAUUUGUAUUAACGCGUCAGAGGUGGAAUUCUUGGAUUGCGUUACGACAAACUACUGCGAAAGUAUUUGCCAAGGAUGUUUUCAUUG
rnacentral:rRNA from 1 species